rnacentral:sRNA from 1 species
CCCAGGGAUGAGAGAGUCUGCACGUACACAAGCAAUGCCAUGUAGCCCUGCCCCCCAAGUUAUCCCUGAUUGGUGAAUGAAGAUGCUCUACAGCCUAUAGCUGGGCAGAAGAGAGAGGGGCAGGGUUUGGGUUCCUGGCCUUGGAGUCUGGGGAAGAGACUCAGAGAUAAGGGAGAAGGUAGAGAGAGGAGAAGAUACUGUCCGGAAUGAGGUCCCGGCCCUUGAAGAUCAGGAGCAAACCGUGGUAUGGAGGAACGUUCGGCUGUCAUCCUGUAAAAUUAGAGACACAGUGUCACAUUCCAUAUCUGAUUAGCUACCAUCACUGGUGUUAGUGUCCCUGGGCUGGAUCUCAACGCGAGCUGCUCCGCUUGUGACUGUCAAUCACUUGAGCAAAUAGGAUGACACUUGCUCUCUCCCCUCAACAACUUGAAUGUGGUGUCUGCUCAAAUCAUCUGCCUCCUCCAGCCCCGAGUCUGCUGUGACAUCUGAGAGCCGCCGGAUCCCGACUCCCCGGCUCACCUGAUUAACUUCCCUGAGCCAAGUUGCUAGCCAAAGGGGAGAAAACGGAGCAUCUGUGUCUGCCAAUCAGGAACUGGAGAGACUGCUCCGUGGUAAAGAGCCCGGGAUGCUCUGGCAGAGGACCCACACGGUAUCACAUAACCCUCUGUAACUCCAGCCUCAGAGGAUCUGACGCCCUCUUCUGGCCUCCUCGGGCACUGCACGCACGUGGUGCCCAGAUACGAGCAGGCCAAACACCCAUACUUGUAAAUUAAGAAUAAAUGAGUAAGAUAUUUAAGACCAUCA